UUUAUUUCUAAAAUAAGAAAAUAAGGCUCUUCCUUUGUAGGUAUAAACAGCAAACUGUGGGGUCUGCAUUCAGAAACAACAAAUUCAAUUGAAAUGUUAUCUGACUAUGUCGCCCUCUCACGAACCAAACAAACGCUAACAAAAUAAAGCGCCUGCAUGCAACACGUUUCCAAUCCAAUCUCAAUACACAAAAGUACAUUCACACAUCCUCGGGACGUAACAACCUCACGAGAUAAACAAGAUGAAACCCGUUUAUUACUAACCUUUAGGAACAUAAUAAAAUGUACUUUUUUAGUCCCGGUUGCGCCUGGAUCCAGUUCGUAGAGCCGACUGCAAAGGUCAUUGCUGCUACUAUUUGCAUUCUUGCAUAGUACUCGCGUGGGGUAUAAAAACCCCGUCAGUUCUACGAAGGGCAUCAUAUAUCCCUGGAUAUUCGAACUACUUGCAACAUGCAGAAGCUGUUGAUCUUUUUCGCCCUGCUGGCUAUGGCAUUCGCGGCGCCCGCGCCCUCGCCACCGCUAGUGUACUCGGCCCCGCUGGGCUACCCGUCGCCGUACCUGGCCGGGGCGCCCGUGGUCUACAACUCCCCCUACCCAGCCUACUCGCCCGGCCUGUACCCAGCCGGCGCCCCCAUCACCUAUACCAAGUACUUCUGAGGACUUCGACGACAUCACUUUUAAAUCAGGAUAAUUCAGACAGUUUGAGAAAUUCGCAAUAAAUUACCGUUCCGCCUA